rnacentral:rRNA from 1 species
CUGGCUCAGGAUGAACGCUAGCUACAGGCUUAACACAUGCAAGUCGAGGGGCAGCAUGGCUAGCUUGCUAAGAUGAUGGCGACCGGCGCACGGGUGAGUAACGCGUAUCCAACCUUCCCUAUAGUAGGGGAUAGCCCGUAGAAAUGCGGAUUAAUACCCUAUGUUGUAUUUAGAUGACAUCUGACGAAUACCAAAGGUUCACCGCUAUAGGAUGGGGAUGCGUCUGAUUAGGUAGUCGGCGGGGUAACGGCCCACCGAGCCAACGAUCAGUAGGGGUUCUGAGAGGAAGGUCCCCCACAUUGGAACUGAGACACGGUCCAAACUCCUACGGGAGGCAGCAGUGAGGAAUAUUGGUCAAUGGGCGAGAGCCUGAACCAGCCAAGUAGCGUGCCAGGAUGACGGCCCUAUGGGUUGUAAACUGCUUUUAUGCGGGGAUAAAGUGAGGGACGUGUCUCUUAUUGUAGGUACCGCAUGAAUAAGGACCGGCUAAUUCCGUGCCAGCCGCGGC